CGCUAGCUACAGGCUUAACACAUGCAAGUCGAGGGGCAGCAUGGUCUUAGCUUGCUAAGGCCGAUGGCGACCGGCGCACGGGUGAGUAACACGUAUCCAACCUGCCGUCUACUCUUGGACAGCCUUCUGAAAGGAAGAUUAAUACAAGAUGGCAUCAUGAGUCCGCAUGUUCACAUGAUUAAAGGUAUUCCGGUAGACGAUGGGGAUGCGUUCCAUUAGAUAGUAGGCGGGGUAACGGCCCACCUAGUCUUCGAUGGAUAGGGGUUCUGAGAGGAAGGUCCCCCACAUUGGAACUGAGACACGGUCCAAACUCCUACGGGAGGCAGCAGUGAGGAAUAUUGGUCAAUGGGCGAGAGCCUGAACCAGCCAAGUAGCGUGAAGGAUGACUGCCCUAUGGGUUGUAAACUUCUUUUAUAAAGGAAUAAAGUCGGGUAUGUAUACCCGUUUGCAUGUACUUUAUGAAUAAGGAUCGGCUAACUCCGUGCCAGCAGCCGCGGUAAUACGGAGGAUCCGAGCGUUAUCCGGAUUUAUUGGGUUUAAAGGGAGCGUAGAUGGAUGUUUAAGUCAGUUGUGAAAGUUUGCGGCUCAACCGUAAAAUUGCAGUUGAUACUGGAUAUCUUGAGUGCAGUUGAGGCAGGCGGAAUUCGUGGUGUAGCGGUGAAAUGCUUAGAUAUCAUGAAGAACUCCGAUUGCGAAGGCAGCCUGCUAAG
rnacentral:rRNA from 1 species